AUGCCAUGGGUAGAAAGGUGUGCAUCUCUAAUCCUCGCGCUUGUAAUGCUCCCUGCCCUAGACACGAAGGCCGCGGUGGGCUACAGCAAUGGCGAGGCGGUGAUGCCAGCGCCUUCCUCAUCCAUGAGGCUGGAGGAUGGUGUGGCGCCGGAGCUUGGGGUGAUAUCGGUGGUGGACCUGGACGUCAACGGCCUCCUCGGCGGCAAGAACAUCAGCCCGAAGGCCGUAAACCCCACCAAGCCAGUUUGCCUUGUUGCUCCGUGCGUCGCCGGAGGGCCGUCCAGCGGCGGCGGCCGGGGCUGCAACCCGCAUUACCAUUGCGCGGUUCACUGA
rnacentral:rRNA from 1 species